UCGUGCCAGCAGCCGCGGUAAUACGGGAAGGGCAAGCGUUAUCCGGCAUGACUGGGCGUAAAGAGUCCGUAGACUGUAAAAUAAGUUUUUUGUUAAAUUUUAAGACCUAAUCUUAACAUAGCAACUAAUACUAUUUUACUAUGAGUCUAAUACAGAAAAGUAGAAUUUUAUACGAUAGAGGUGAAAUUUGCAGAUAUAUAAAGGAAUGCCAAAAGCGAAGGCAACUUUUUGGUAUAGACUGACGUUGAGGGACGAAAGCGUGGGUAGCAAACGGGAUUAGAGACCCCGGUAGUCCACGCCGUAAAUUCUGAGUGCUGUAAUUUAAUUGUAAUAUUUUUUAAAUAUUAUUUAGAUUUUCAAGCUAACGCAAUAAGCACUCCGCCUGAAAAGUACGAUCGCAAGAUUGGAACUCAAAGGAAUUGACGGGGGUCUAACACUGGUGGUGGAGCAUGUGGUUUAAUGCGAUAAUCCGCGCAAAACCUUACCAAUUCUUGACAUAAUUUUAUAAUUUUGCUUAAUCUUAUUUUGUAUAGUUUAAUUAUUUAUUACAGGUGUUGCACGACUGUCGUCAGCUCGUGUCGUGAGAUGUUUGGUUAAGUCCUGAAACGGGCGUAACUCUU
rnacentral:rRNA from 1 species